UGCCAGCAGCCGCGGUAAUACGGAGGAUCCAAGCGUUAUCCGGAAUCAUUGGGUUUAAAGGGUCCGUAGGCGGGCAGUUAAGUCAGUGGUGAAAGUCUUCCGCUCAACGGGAGAAUUGCCAUUGAUACUGAUUGUCUUGAGUUAUUAUGAAGUGGUUAGAAUGAGUAGUGUAGCGGUGAAAUGCAUAGAUAUUACUCAGAAUACCGAUUGCGAAGGCAGAUCACUAAUAAUAUACUGACGCUGAUGGACAAAAGCGUAGGUAGCGAACAGGAUUAGAUA
rnacentral:rRNA from 1 species